rnacentral:lncRNA from 1 species
CACCUGUACCAUGAGCUGCGUUCAAGACAUGUGUAAUGCCCAGUCUCUUCAAACGGCUUUUGUUCACUGCAACACUCUUUUCUGCUAUGAAGACAUUAGGCCAGACUUCAUCCACAGCAUCUCUAGGAGUCUCCAGCCUGUCCUUUACAAGUGCCCUCUGCAAGUCCAUGACACACGGAGUGUUAAACAAGCUGGUGUCAUCAAUCUUUUCUUUAACUCGGUUGUAUAGAUCUUCCACCAUCAACUGCUGUGCAGACUCUAACAUCU